AUGGCAACUCCGGCAGCCACCUCUUUGGCCCUCGCCGUCAUCCUCCUCCUGGUGGCCUUCACGGCAGGCGCCGGCGCAGCCACCUUCAGCAUCACCAACCGGUGCCCCUUCCCAGUGUGCGCGGCCGCGAUGCCGGUGAGCGGCGGCGGCGGCGCGCAGCUGGCGCCAGGCGAGACGUGGACGCUGACGUUCGCGGCCGGCGGGACGAGCGGCAGGAUCUGGCCGCGCAUGGGCUGCGCCUUCCACCCCGCCACGGGCCGCGGGGGCUGCCAGACCGGCGACUGCGGCGGCGCCCUGCGCUGCGUGCUCUCGGGCAAGCCCCCCGCGACGCUGGCCGAGUUCAACCUCGCGAACGGCGGCGCCCCGGGCAGGUACGGCAUAUCGGUCGUCGACGGCUUCACCCUGCCCAUGGACUUCUCCUGCAGCGGAGCUGGGGACGGCGGCGUGAUCCGGUGCAGGGACCCCGGAUGUCCCGACGGAAACCACCGCCCCGGCGACGGCAAGUACCGCGCCUGCCCGGCCUACAGCGACUACAAGGUCGUCUUCUGCCCAUGA
rnacentral:rRNA from 1 species